rnacentral:rRNA from 1 species
AGUGAACGCUGGCGGUAGGCCUAACACAUGCAAGUCGAACGGCAGCAUAGUAAGAGCGUGCUCUUACGGUUGGCGAGUGGCGGACGGGUGAGAAGUACAUCGGAAUCCACUAUUUCGUGGGGGACAACGUGGGGAAACUUACGCUAAUACCGCAUACGAUGUACGGCUGAAAGCAGGAGAGAUUCAGGGCUUGCCCGUCUGAAAUAGCCGAAGCCGCGCCGCAUUAGCUAGUUGGUAAGGUAACGGCCAACCAAGGCGACGAUGCGUAGCCGAGCUGAGAGGAUGAUCGGCCACACUGGAACUGAGACACGGUCCAGACUCCUACGGGAGGCAGCAGUGGGGAAUCUUCGGCAAUGGGCGCAAGCCUGACCGAGCCACACCGCGUGAGUGAAGAAGGUCUUCGGGUUGUAAAGCUCUUUUGUUGGGAAAGAACAGCUGCAGGUGUAUCCAUCGCUGUUCUGACGGUACCCAAACAAUAAGCACCGGCUAACUUCGUG